GAUGAACGCUGGCGGCGUGCCUAAUACAUGCAAGUUGAGCGCUGAAGGUUGGUACUUGUACCGACUGGAUGAGCAGCGAACGGGUGAGUAACGCGUGGGGAAUCUGCCUUUGAGCGGGGGACAACAUUUGGAAACGAAUGCUAAUACCGCAUAAAAACUUUAAACACAAGUUUUAAGUUUGAAAGAUGCAAUUGCAUCACUCAAAGAUGAUCCCGCGUUGUAUUAGCUAGUUGGUGAGGUAAAGGCUCACCAAGGCGAUGAUACAUAGCCGACCUGAGAGGGUGAUCGGCCACAUUGGGACUGAGACACGGCCCAAACUCCUACGGGAGGCAGCAGUAGGGCAUCUUCGGCAAUGGACGGAAGUCUGACCGAGCAACGCCGCGUGAGUGAAGAAGGUUUUCGGAUCGUAAAACUCUGUUGGUAGAGAAGAACGUUGGUGAGAGUGGAAAGCUCAUCAAGUGACGGUAACUACCCAGAAAGGGACGGCUAACUACGUGCCAGCAGCCGCCGUAA
rnacentral:rRNA from 1 species